rnacentral:rRNA from 1 species
AUUGAACGCUGGCGGCAUGCCUUACACAUGCAAGUCGAACGGCAGCACGGGAGCAAUCCUGGUGGCGAGUGGCGAACGGGUGAGUAAAAUAUCGGAACGUGCACAGUCGUGGGGGAUAACGUAGCGAAAGUUACGCUAAUAUCGCAUACGAUCUAUGGAUGAAAGAGGGGGAUCGCAAGACUUCGCGCGAUGGGAGCGGGCGAUAUCAGAGUAGGUAGUUGGUGGGGUAAAGGCUCACCAAGGCGACGAUCUGUAGCUGGGCUGAGAGGACGGCCAGACACACUGGGACUGAGACACGGCCCAGACUCCUACGGGAGGCAGCAGUGGGGAAUUUUGGACAAUGGGCGAAAGCCUGAUCCAGCCAUGCCGCGUGCAGGAUGAAGGCCUUCGGGUUGUAAACUGCUUUUGUACGGAACGAAAAGGUUUGUCCUAAUAAGCUGAGCUCAUGACGGUACCGUAAGAAUAGCACCGGCUAACUACGUGCCAGCCGCCGCCGUAA